CAUCUUUUCUUUCAUAUUACAUUAUAUUUUUAGGAUAGGGUAUGUGUUAGUGUUGUGGUAGUGUAUGGGGUUAAUGGUCAUUGUUAGGAUAGGGUAGGAAUUAAUGGUUGGAGUUAGGGUAGUGUAGGGGUUAAUGGUCGGUGUUAGGAUAGGGUAGGAAUUAACGGCCGGUGUUAGGAUAGAGUAGGAAUUAAUGGUUGGAGUUAGGGUAGUGUAGGGGUUAAUGGUUGGUGUUAGGAUAGGGUAGGAAUUAAUGGUUGGUGUUAGGAUAGGGUAGGAAUUAAUGGUUGGUGUUAGGAUAGGGUAGGAAUUAAUGGUUGGAGUUAGGGUAGUGUAGGGGUUAAUGGUUGGAGUUAGGGUAGUGUAGGGGUCAAUGGUCAGUGUAGUGUAGAAAUUAAUGGUAGAAGUUAGUGUGGGUUAGGAAUUAAUGGUUGGAGUUAGUGUGGGUUAGGAAUUAAUGGUUGGAGUUAGUGUAGUGUAGGGGUCAAUUGUCAGUGUAGUGUAGGAAUUAAUGGUUGGAGUUAGUGUGGGUUAGGAAUUAAUGGUUGAAGUCAGAGUAGUGUCAGAGUUAAUGGUUAGUGUUAGGGUAGUGUAGGAAUUAAUGUUAAUGUUUACUGUAAUGUAGCAAUGGAUGACCUUACUAUUAGAGCAGCCUUGGUAUAACUGCUCCAGUGUUGCAUGAAAUUAGUGGGAUUUACAAUCUUAGACAACAGCUACUUCACCUGCCACCAUUAAAAUGUCAGUAGCUCAUGCUCAGGAGUGUAACUCCUACUAACCUCAGGCAGACCAGGGGAUUAAGAUCUUUGAACUACAGAAAGGUGAUCUGUGCAGUAUUUCCUAUUAACUGCUGGAAAUAAAAGCACAGAUUGGGUUACUAUCCAUGCAGUAUGGCUUUCUAACACAUGAUGUGCAACACUGAAAUAAGCUUGAAAAUACUAAGUGCAGCAUUCAUGGUGGU